ensembl:lncRNA
CGACUUGCCUAGUUAAAUAAAGUGUUCCCCAGAACUGUCAGAGGUCCUACAACCUCAUGGCCUUUGACCCUGACGGUGAUCGUGUCAGAUGCAGAUACGGAUUGGUCAGACCUGAGUGCGAUAGGUGUGAUCAGCCUUCAGGUUUCUACCUGGAUCAGGGCUCUUGCUCCUUACAAUACGGCUACACUUCAACGAGUGGCGUCUACGGGUUUGAGCUGGUUGUAGAGGACUUUCCUAACCAACACAUCACCCUGUCCUACACCGAUGGCUCUAGUUCCUCCAGGGCACCGCUUCAUGCAGGGAGACGCCGACGCGCCAGCUACCAAACAACCGUCUCCUAUCCCUGGUGGUGGAGCCAAACCACCACCACUCCUUCUCCUUGGUGGUGGAGCCAAACCACCACAACUCCUUCUCCUUGGUGGUGGAGCCAAACCACCACAACUCCUUCUCCUUGGUGGUGGUGGAGCCAAACCACCACUGUCGCCCCCUGGCCCACUACCACCACCACCACCCCGCCCACUACCACCACCACCCCCUGGCCCACUACCACCACCACCACCCCGCCCACUACCACCACCACCCC